UAGGGAAUUCAAUCAUUUUAUCUAUUUCUCUAUUUUAUCUAAUAGAAUAUUGGUUAUCUGUCAAAAGAGAAGUAUUAUUGACUGCAUGACUAACCUAGAGUCAUCCUCAAAGGGUGAGUCAAGUAAUUAGGUCUGAAUCACUUACACACACUACACUCUCUACCAUUUCAUCUAACGAGCUGGAGAUGCUAGUUCCUUGUGAAUUCCUUGUAGAAUUUAUGAAGUUUUAAAUUUCCCUGGUAAAUAACAAUGGGCAUUUCAAGAAGCUUACAUAAAUACAUUGUAGUCCUACUAACAUAUAAAAUAUUAGGUUCUUGAUUUAAAAUGUAAGACACCUUUUUUACGUUAGAAGUAAAGAUUGAAUUUUAAUAAGCUAUUAGCAUUACCUACAUUUUCUUACUUUAUUUGCUAUUUCAGUUGGGCCGCAAUUCUUUCGUAGGACUUGUAUCUUUCCUCUUCUAUUUUUUGGGAUGCUUGGUUGUUAUGUUCAUUGGAACAGGCCAACUGUGUUGUUACUUUGCUACACCAUAAGGGAGCAUGAGCAAGACUAAAAGACACCAAAAAAGUGCUUACAUGGCUCAAUAGGCAAUUUUAACCGAUUGCUUCAUGGGUGAUGAUGUCUCAUUUUCUUUUGUCCAUUAUCAAUGCUAAGAUUUCGAAUUUCCUCUUUCAUGCUAGUCUUUUUGUUGUUGUUGGGUUAGUGGGCCAUCAACGAACCAUACAGUCUAUUUAGGUGAGCAGUUGUUUGAUUCAUAAAAAUUCAUCUAUAUUUGAUACAAUGUUAUUUUAAGCUAAGGAGAAUUGUUCCUUGCUUUUGCUAACCAGGGGCUUAUGAUGAGGAAGAAUCUGCAGCAAGGGCUUACAAUCUGGCCACAAUUGCUCCAAAACUCAAGUGGACAAAACCACAGGAAAUAAUGGACGCUUACAAUUAAAAAGUUCUUGUGGCCACAAGUUUUGAAUCAAGUUGAUUUAUGUGUUUUCCCUUCAACCAGGUCCUUGUGACUUUAUGGACAGGCACCAUCACAAUGGCAGAUGGGAAGCAAGGAUAGGAAGGGUUUUCGGAAACAAGUACCUCUACCUUGGAACUUACAGUCUUUGGGUUCAUCAAGUCAAUGAGCUGACUCAGUUAACCCGAUGAGAUUUUGAGCUGAGUCAUCAGGUUCAGGAAUAAAAAGCCUCAGUUUGGUGGGCUAUGUUGGAAUUCACAACUCAUGAUUCAGAGAUUUCAUUCUAAAACCGGAGCUUCUUUGAGUCAUUGUAGGUUCUGGAUUUGAGCAUCCUUUAGAAGGAAAAUUCUUGUCAUGUUAUUCUCAUUUUAUGUUUGACUUCAUGAAAAAUACAAAUUUUCUGGUUUUUUUUAUUGUUGCAUCUGAUCUUGAAUCUACUAUGGGUUUUUAGCAAUUAUAUGUGAUUUUUUAGAAGAAUUUCAGCAUCUGUUGCUAGUUUGGUUGUUUUAUUUUUACUUUUUGUAGUCAUUUGUCAUGUUUAACAUAUUUGGAGACAUGCAAUCUGUUGAAUUCAUGUAAUAAAUUUGGUAUGGAGAAGGAUGACAUCUGCUUUUGGAUUUGGAUAUUUCUUUUCAUGUUAUUAUAACAGAUCUAAAACUGUUUUUUUUUUUUUUUUU